UGGGGAAUAUUGGACAAUGGGGGGAACCCUGAUCCAGCCAUGCCGCGUGUGUGAAGAAGGCCUUAUGGUUGUAAAGCACUUUAAGCGAGGAGGAGGGUACUGGUAUUAAUACUACCAGCUACUGGACGUUACUCGCAGAAUAAGCACCGGCUAACUCUGUGCCAGCAGCCGCGGUAAUACAGAGGGUGCGAGCGUUAAUCGGAUUUACUGGGCGUAAAGCGUGCGUAGGCGGCUAAUUGAGUCGGAUGUGAAAUCCCCGAGCUUAACUUGGGAAUUGCAUUCGAUACUGGUUAGCUAGAGUGUGGGAGAGGAUGGUAGAAUUCCAGGUGUAGCGGUGAAAUGCGUAGAGAUCUGGAGGAAUACCGAUGGCGAAGGCAGCCAUCUGGCCUAACACUGACGAUGAGGUACGAAAGCAUGGGGAGCAAACAGG
rnacentral:rRNA from 1 species